ensembl:snoRNA
AUUAAAUGAUGAAUAUAUCCCGAACCUGAGUUCAUGUGAAUGAAACUCUUAUACGGAUCUGACUUCUGAUAU